GCCUGGGUGGCUCAGUUGGUUAAGCAUCCGACUUCGGCUCAGGUUCGUGGGUUCGACACCCAUGUCGGGCU
rnacentral:tRNA from 1 species